UGAGCGACUACUGCGUAUCCCGUCGUCCUGUGCGCCUCGAACAGAAUCCUGCUCGUCCCCCCGCCGCCGCCGGGUACCAUAGGGCUUUUUCCCACCGCCGCCGGCCACCAUGACGCCAUGCCCCAUCAACGCUCGCUAGCCCCGACUACACACAACCUAUUCAGCUCCACCUUGUGUGCCGAACCCGUUGCUCAGAUGAGAUCCACGCUCGACAGUACGAUGGGAGGCGACACAAAUCUCUCCCCACCGCCGCUGGAACCGGAGACUCUACGCGGCGAGGAGCAGGAUUGGGUGUCGGCGCUGGGGGAGUCAGUUUCCUUCGGACGAUUCCUCUCUGAGCCGCUGGAGUGGGUGCCAUGGCGCAAAUCCUAGUUGUGCGUCCGCCUACCAUGGGUCAUGUCCAAUCAUCACCAGCAGCUGAGCUCGAUCUAUCGGUAGAAGGCAAUUUGUCAGUGCCGGUUGCAGCGGUCGGAGCUCGAUCUGCCUCCUCCAACUGUGGUGAUAUGUGCAUUGAGGGUUAUCGCCCAACCAAUAGUUGUAAUACGGCGGCAGCCCGUUCAUCAGGAAGUGCAGCACAUAUGGGAGGAUCCGAGCUCUAUCUGACAUGAGCAGGCUGUUACGAAAAAGGUGAACAACCUGGACCUAGGCGGCGAGGGGGAGCUCGGGAAGGCUAUGGGACCUGAGAGCAUCUUCAAGUCCAGGUUAUGCAUGAGCUUUCUCUCCAGCGAGUCAUGCGCCUUCGGCGGCAGAUGCUCCUUUCGCCCGUGCCAAUGUUGAGUUGCGCAGUCCUGCUGCAUCUCAAGAAGUCGAAGACCAAGUGGUUCUCAUGGUGUUCAUGAUGAUUAUGCGUCUGUUAUUUUGCGGAAAUGCCUAAACAAAAAACUUUUCUUGUCUAUUUUUUGUCGUAGUCCAUUUUUUCGGUUCAAUGAAUUCAUGAUAGGCAAGGCAUAAAAAAUGGAGUGAACAGAAAUUCAUUUGUAAACUCGAGAUAUUAAUAUUAGAGCAUCAAGCAUGUAAAAUCGCUGUACUAAUGAGGCAGCCCAUGUUUUGGCAAAAUCUGGUGAAGAUGAUGCUAGGUCCUGCUUGUAUAAUAGUGUACCUGAUGUUAUCAGGAGAUUGUUUGUAAUGAUGAGAUUAUGAAUGAAUGAAAGGG